UCCCUUCCAGUCAAUGAGAUUUUUAUACCUCAUUGAUUGGAAGGGAUUCAUUCCGUCAAUGAGGAUGUUAUACCUCAUCGACUGGAAGGAAUCCCUUCCAAUCGACAAUGAGGUAUAACUUCUUGUUGACUGGAAGGAA
rnacentral:miRNA from 1 species